UGAGCGUCGUUGUAUGGAAGACUAGUGAUUUUGUUGUUCUACUUAAGAUGUAACAAGGAAUCACUAAUCAUCCUACAAAGACGCUCG
rfam:Trichomalopsis sarcophagae strain Alberta scaffold7101, whole genome shotgun sequence.